UUUACUCUUACGGGAGGCAGCAGUGGGGAAUAUUGCACAAUGGGCGAAAGCCUGAUGCAGCGACGCCGCGUGAGGGAUGACGGCCUUCGGGUUGUAAACCUCUUUCAGUAGGGAAGAAGCCCUCUUUGGGGGUGACGGUACUUGCAGAAGAAGCGCCGGCUAACUACGUGCCAGCAGCCGCGGUAAUACGUAGGGCGCAAGCGUUAUCCGGAAUUAUUGGGCGUAAAGAGCUCGUAGGCGGUUUGUCGCGUCUGCUGUGAAAGACCGGGGCUCAACUCCGGUUCUGCAGUGGGUACGGGCAGACUAGAGUGCAGUAGGGGAGACUGGAAUUCCUGGUGUAGCGGUGAAAUGCGCAGAUAUCAGGAGGAACACCGAUGGCGAAGGCAGGUCUCUGGGCUGUAACUGACGCUGAGGAGCGAAAGCAUGGGGAGCGAACAGGAUUAGAUACCCUGGUAGUCCAUGCCGUAAACGUUGGGCACUAGGUGUGGGGGACAUUCCACGUUUUCCGCGCCGUAGCUAACGCAUUAAGUGCCCCGCCUGGGGAGUACGGCCGCAAGGCUAAAACUCAAAGGAAUUGACGGGGGCCCGCACAAGCGGCGGAGCAUGCGGAUUAAUUCGAUGCAACGCGAAGAACCUUACCAAGGCUUGACAUGGACCGGAAAGACCUGAAACAGGGCCCCC
rnacentral:rRNA from 1 species